rnacentral:rRNA from 1 species
CCUACGGGAGGCUGCAGUGGGGAAUAUUGGACAAUGGGCGAAAGCCUGAUCCAGCCAUGCCGCGUGUGUGUAGAAGGCCUUCGGGUUGUAAAGCACUUUCAGUGGGGAAGAAAGCCUUGGGGCUAAUACCCUCGAGGAAGGACAUCACCCACAGAAGAAGCACCGGCUAACUCCGUGCCAGCAGCCGCGGUAAUACGGAGGGUGCGAGCGUUAAUCGGAAUUACUGGGCGUAAAGCGCGCGUAGGCGGUCUGAUAAGCCGGUUGUGAAAGCCCCGGGCUCAACCUGGGAACGGCAUCCGGAACUGUCAGGCUAGAGUGCAGGAGAGGAAGGUAGAAUUCCCGGUGGAGCGGUGAAAUGCGUAGAGAUCGGGAGGAAUACCAGUGGCGAAGGCGGCCUUCUGGACUGACACUGACGCUGAGGUGCGAAAGCGUGGGUAGCAAACAGGAUUAGAUACCCCAGUAGUC